rnacentral:lncRNA from 1 species
AUGAGAAGGACACUACCAACGCCUCCCGGAAGCUUGAUUGAAUGUCUGAAAGAAAGAGAGAGAGGAUUCUUUCUCUCCCUUUGAGCCCAGGUCAAUCCAAAAUUUCUAUUUUUCCCCUUUUUGCGCAUGUUACGGUAUUUGAUAAGUGCCUCGCCAGCUUCCCCAGGUACCACGUCCAAGCAUAUUAAAGUUGCACGUCCAAACUCCAAAGGGCACCAUAGUUUGAACUCUUGGUUUAGGUACAACCAAAAUAUUCCAUGACAGCCCAAAAUUAAGCAAAAUAAAUAGACUCUCGGGUGUUGCAAGAUUAUAAAAUAAUAAUAAACUAUUACACAUAGAAAAUAAAAUACGAGGCUUUACAUGGUUCGAUCUUUGAUCUAUACAAGAUAGAAAAAGAUUUUAUUAUAUCAUAAAGAUGAAGUACAAAAAAAAAA